GGAGGGAAACACAAAAACAAGAAGGAAAGAAGAAAGAAUCUACAAGUAGUUUGAAUAUUCCUACUUCCACUUGUCU
rnacentral:ribozyme from 15 species